AUGCCGUUUCGUCCGUGUCCUUCUGGAUGCGGUUGUUUCCUGUCUUCGGUUGACGGUCACGAGCGUUGUCUGCCGUGUCUGGGCGUCCAACACGCUGAGGCUGCGCUCGUGGAUGAUUCAUGCGUCUACUGUGGGCGUAUGAACAUGGCAGCGCUGCGAUCGCGUCUCUCACUCCUCAAGGGGAGUGCAGCAGACCCCUCUGUCGCCACCCGUCCCGGUCUCUCUGGCUCGAGCAGAGGGCCGCCGGCUGGCGCUCUGGGAGAUCUGAGGAUCACAGUGAGAGCUUCUCCGCCGGGCCACGCCCCACGGACCUCUCACUCCUCACGCAGCGACUGUCCCAUGCAGCUGCCGAUUGAUUCUGCUGGGCCGUCUCAUAGCGGUCCCAGCGUAUCUUUCGGUGCGCCGCCCGAAGACCAGAUGUCGAUUGCUGCAUCGGGGGAUGGGUUAUCGACCUCUGAGGAUGAAGGUUCGGCGGGGCUGCCCCCCUCGGGUGUUGUCGCUGCUGCCGAAUCGGACUUGGAGUUGUCGGCCAUGCUUGCCCGGGCAGCCGUGAGUAUCGGACUGGAGGUGACUACACCGCCCAGUCCCGAGCCCUCACGGCUGGAUGAUUGGUUUCUCGGCGCGGGACGCGGCUCACAACCUCGUUCUGCUCUGAUGCCUUUCUUCCCGGAGGUGCAUGAAGAGGUGACGAAGUCGUGGACGGCCCCUUUCACGGCCAGAAGCCGCUCUUCUCCCUCUUCCAUCCUCACCACCCUCGAUGGCGGGGCAGCCAGGGGGUACGUAGAGGUUCCCCAGGUGGAGAGGGCGGUUGCGGUGCACUUGUGCCCACAAAACGCCGCCACUUGGAGGAACCGACCCCCCAAGUUCAAUGGCGUGCUCGAGACUUCGGUGGCAGUCCUGGACGCCCCUGUCUUGCGCGAGGAGAUUGCUGUCCUCCUGGCGAAGGAUGCAAUCGAGCCGGUCCCUCCAGCCGAGAUGAGGACGGGGUUUUACAGCCCUUACUUCAUCGUGCCCAAGAAAAGCGGUGGCCUUCGACCUAUCCUGGAUCUGCGAGUCUUGAAUCGGGCCCUACACAAGCUCCCGUUCAGGAUGUUGACGCAGAAACGCAUUAUCAAAUGCGUCCAGCCCCAGGACUGGUUUGCAGCGAUCGACCUGAAAGACGCGUACUUUCAUGUCUCUAUCCUCCCUCGUCACAGACCGUUCCUGCGCUUUGCUUUCGAGGGUCAGACAUGGCAGUACAAGGUCCUCCCCUUCGGGCUCUCCCUGUCCCCCCGUGUCUUCACGAAGGUCGCGGAGGGCGCCCUUGCCCCACUCUGGGAAGUGGGCAUCAGGAUCCUCAACUAUCUCGACGACUGGCUCAUUAUGGCCCGGUCCCGAGAAGAGUUGUGCGAUCACAGGGACUUCGUGCUUCGGCACCUCAGUCAGUUGGGGCUUCAGGUCAACCGGGAGAAGAGCAAGCUCUCCCCUGUGCAGAGAAUCUCUUAUCUCGGUAUGGAGUUAGACUCGGUGAGUAUGACGGCACGUCUCACCAGCGAGCGUGCCCACUCAGUGCUGAACUGCCUGAGUUCCUUCAGAGGCAGGACAGUGGUACCGCUGAAACACUUUCAGAGGCUCCUGGGGCAUAUGGCAUCCGCAGCCGCAGUCACGCCGCUCGGGUUGCUUCAUAUGAGACCACUUCAGCACUGGUUACACUCCCGAGUCCCGAGAUGGGCAUGGCGCCGCGGUACACAUCGUGUCACCAUCACACUGAUGUGUCGCCGCCUAUUCAGUCCUUGGUCGGACCUUGCUUUUCUACGGGCCGGCGUGCCCUUAGAACAAGUGUCCCGGCACGUUGUUGUCACAACAGAUGCCUCCAACUCGGGCUGGGGCGCGACAUGCAACGGGCAGGCAGCUUCAGGGUCCUGGACAGGACCUCGACUGCUUUGGCACAUCAGCUGCCUGGAGUUGCUGGCAGUGCAUCUAGCUUUGCGAUGGUUUCGUCCGCUAGUGCUGGACAAGCACGUGUUGGUCCGCACGGACAACACUGCGGCUGUUUCGUACAUCAACCGACAAGGCGGUUUACGAUCACGUCGCAUGUCUCAACUCGCCCGUCAUCUCCUCCUCUGGAGUCAGACGUGGCUCAAGUCGCUGCGCGCUGUCCACAUCCCGGGGGAGCUCAAUCAUGCAUCCGACGCGCUCACGACAGCUCACUUUCCCCGGGGAAUGGCGACUCCAUCCCCAGACGGUCCAGCUGAUCUGGAGCCGAUUCGGGGAAGCCCAGGUAGACCUGUUUGCUUCCCACGAGUCCUCCCACUGCCAGCUGUACUAUUCUCUGUCCCAGGCCCCCCUGGGCACAGAUGCACUGGCACACAGCUGGCCUCGGGCUUUACGCAAGUAUGCGUUUCCCCCAGUGAGCCUGCUCGCACAGACACUGUGCAAGGUCAGGGAGGACGAGGAACAGGUCCUGUUGGUUGCGCCUUACUGGCCCACCCGGACCUGGUUUUCGGAACUCAUGCUCCUCGUGACAGCCCCUCCCUGGCGCAUCCCCCUCAGGAGAGACCUUCUCUCUCAGGGGCUUGGCACCAUUUGGCACCCGCGUCCAGAUCUCUGGAACCUCCACGUGUGGCUUCUAGACGGGACGCGGCAGACCUAAGUGAUCUGCCCCCAGCGGUGGUAGACACUAUCACUCAGGCUAGAGCCCCUUCUACGAGGCAGGCCUAUGCUCUGAAGUGGAGUCUGUUCACAAAUUGGUGUUCUUCUCACCGAGAAGACCCCCGGAGAUGCCCGGUCAGAGUCGUGCUUUCUUUCCUGCAAGGUAGGCUGGAGCGUGGGCUGUCACCCUCCACCCUGAAGGUGUAUGUAGCUGCCAUUGCAGCACAUCACGAUGCAGUGGACGGCCGGUCCCUGGGGAGGCAUGACCUGAUCGUUAGGUUCCUGAGGGGUGCCAGAAGGUUACAUCCUCCUAGGACACCCCUGAUUCCCUCCUGGGACCUCUCUAUUGUCCUGGCGGGACUUCAGAGGGGUCCCUUUGAGCCGCUGGAUUCGGUUGAGCUGAAGUUCCUGUCUCUCAAGACAGCGCUCCUGAUCGCGCUCACUUCCAUCAAGAUGGUCGGGGACCUCCAAGCAUUUUCGGUAAGUGAAGAGUGCCUUGUGUUCGGGCCGGCCUACUCUCACGUUGUCCUGAGACCCCGGCCUGGAUACGUGCCCAAGGUUCCCACCACUCCCUUCCGAGACCAGGUGGUGAACCUGCAAGUGCUGCCCCUGGAGGAGGCAGAUCCAGCCUUGUCGUUGCUGUGUCCCGUAAGAGUGCUUCGCAUAUACGUGGACCGCACCCAGAGCUUCAGAAGCUCUGAGCAGCUCCUGGUCUGCUUUGGAGGUCAGCAGAAGGGGAAGGCUGUCUCUAAGCAGAGGUUGGCCCACUGGAUAGUGGACGCCAUCGCCUUGGCUUACCAUUCCCAAGGCGAGCCGUGCCCCCUGGGGGUGAGGGCCCACUCCAGACAGAGUGUGGCCUCGUCCUAUGCGUUGGUGCACGGCGCCUCUCUGGCAGAUAUUUGUCGAGCUGCGGGCUGGGCGACACCUAACACCUUUGCGAGGUUUUACAACCUCCGUGUAGAGCCAGUUUCCUCCCGUGUGUUGGGUAACAGGUAA
ensembl:lncRNA